rnacentral:rRNA from 1 species
AUACGUAGGUGACAAGCGUUAUCCGGAUUUACUGGGCGUAAAGGGCGUGUAGGCGGUCUUGUAAGUCAGAAGUGAAAUUCCUGAGCUCAACUCGGGCGCUGCUUCUGAAACUGCAGGACUUGAGUGCUGGAGGGGAUAGCGGAAUUCCUAGUGGAGCGGUAAAAUGCGCAGAUAUUAGGAAGAACACCGGUGGCGAAGGCGGCUAUCUGGACAGUAACUGACGCUGAGGCGCGAAAGCGUGGGGAGCAAACAGGAUUAGGUACCCUGGUAGUCCACGCCCUAAACGAUGAAUGCUAGGUGUAGGGGAGUCAUCUUCUGUGCCGCAGCUAACGCAAUAAGCAUUCCACCUGGGGAGUACGGCCGCAAGGUUGAAACUCAAAGGAAUUGGCGGGG